UCAUGAAAACAUGUCAACGUGGCGGCGUGCCUAUACAUGCAAGUCGAGCGAUGGAUUAAGAGCUUGCUCUUAUGAAGUUAGCGGCGGACGGGUGAGUAACACGUGGGUAACCUGCCCAUAAGACUGGGAUAACUCCGGGAAACCGGGGCUAAUACCGGAUAACAUUUUGAACCGCAUGGUUCGAAAUUGAAAGGCGGCUUCGGCUGUCACUUAUGGAUGGACCCGCGUCGCAUUAGCUAGUUGGUGAGGUAACGGCUCACCAAGGCAACGAUGCGUAGCCGACCUGAGAGGGUGAUCGGCCACACUGGGACUGAGACACGGCCCAGACUCCUACGGGAGGCAGCAGUAGGGAAUCUUCCGCAAUGGACGAAAGUCUGACGGAGCAACGCCGCGUGAGUGAUGAAGGCUUUCGGGUCGUAAAACUCUGUUGUUAGGGAAAGAAACAAGUGCUAGUUGAAUAAGCUGGCACCCUUGACGGUACCCUAACCAGAAAGCCACGGCUAACUACGUGCCAGCAGCCGCGGUAAUACGUAGGUGGCAAGCGUUAUCCCGGAAUUAUUGGGCGUAAAGCGCGCGCAGGUGGUUUCUUAAGUCUGAUGUGAAAGCCCACGGCUCAACCGUGGAGGGUCAUUGGAAACUGGGAGACUUUGAGUGCAGAAGAAGGA
rnacentral:rRNA from 2 species